rnacentral:pre_miRNA from 1 species
UCUUACAUCCCACACGUUCUUACAUCCCACAUGUUCUUACACCCCACACGUUCGGGAUUUAAGCUCAUGUGGGAUGUAAGAACGUGUGGGAUGUAAGA